rnacentral:rRNA from 1 species
GAUGAACGCUGGCGGCGUGCCUAAUACAUGCAAGUCGAGCGAAUGGAUUGAGAGCUUGCUCUUAUGAAGUUAGCGGCGGACGGGUGAGUAACACGUGGGUAACCUGCCCAUAAGACUGGGAUAACUCCGGGAAACCGGGGCUAAUACCGGAUAACAUUUUGAACCGCAUGGUUCGAAAUUGAAAGGCGGCUUCGGCUGUCACUUAUGGAUGGACUCGCGUCGCAUUAGCUAGUUGGUGAGGUAACGGCUCACCAAGGCAACGAUGCGUAGCCGACCUGAGAGGGUGAUCGGCCACACUGGGACUGAGACACGGCCCAGACUCCUACGGGAGGCAGCAGUAGGGAAUCUUCCGCAAUGGACGAAAGUCUGACGGAGCAACGCCGCGUGAGUGAUGAAGGCUUUCGGGUCGUAAAACUCUGUUGUUAGGGAAGAACAAGUGCUAGUUGAAUAAGCUGGCACCUUGACGGUACCUAACCAGAAAGCCACGGCUAACUACGUGCCAGCCGCCGGGUAA